rnacentral:rRNA from 1 species
UACGUAGGGUGCGAGCGUUAAUCGGAAUUACUGGGCGUAAAGCGUGCGCAGGCGGUUCGUUAAGUUCGUUGUGAAAGCCCCGGGCUCAACUGGGAGGGUGCAUCGAAAACUGGCAGGCUUGAGGCAGGGAGAGGGAUGUGGAAUUCCAGGUGUAGUGGUGAAAUGCGUAGAUAUCAGGAGGAACACCGGUGGCGAAGGCGCACAUCUGGCCCGAUACUGACGCUGAGGCGCGAAAGCCAGGGGAGCAAACGGG